rnacentral:rRNA from 1 species
UACGUAGGGGGCUAGCGUUGUCCGGAAUCAUUGGGCGUAAAGAGCGUGUAGGCGGUCCGGUAAGUCCGCUGUGAAAGUCGGGGGCUCAACCCUCGAAUGCCGGUGGAUACUGUCGGGCUAGAGUGCGGAAGAGGCGAGUGGAAUUCCUGGUGUAGCGGUGAAAUGCGCAGAUAUCAGGAGGAACACCGAUGGCGAAGGCAGGUCACUGGGCCGCAACUGACGCUGAGGAGCGAAAGCAUGGGGAGCGAACAGG